CAAGGCUCUGCUCCUCCCAUGCGAGUUCAAGAAUUUGACCAGGAUCCUGGCUGGCUUCAUGGGAAGAAAUAAGCUGAGGAGACAGGCCUGAACCUAGAGCGGAGAGGGGAUGGCAGGAGCAGGAGCCCCUCAGCCUGUCUUGCGGGCUGACCACACGUCACUGGUGCCAUUGUGUAAGAGGUGGCCCGUGAGCUGGCUCAGAGCAGAUCUGGAGAAAUAAGGAAAGAGAAGAAAGGAGCUGAGGGCAGUGGGUGCCUAGGGCCAGGGGAGACUGGUGAAGAGGAGCCAAAGAGCCACUCAGGUACUGGCUAGACACCCACAUGAGGCCAGGCUUCCUGCUUGUUACUGAAGACACAAAGAUAACAGAUGUAGCCCUCAAGGAGCUCCUGGUGUGAGAAGAUGGACACACAGCAACAAUCCUAUGGGAGACAGGUGUGCUGCACAGAGGCAUGCAGUUUUCUGGGGAGCAGAACACCAAGUGUGGUCAGCUUUCCCUGGGGAGUCAGGGGGCUUCUAGGAGAGGCAUUGUGGGAGCUGAAUGCAUCCCCAGGAAAAGGACAAGCAAGCAUAGGCUAAGGGACUCUGGCUAGUUGGGAACAGCUGUACUUCUGUUGACUGGAUUGUAGGGCCUGAGGAGCACUGGGAAUGAGCCCACAGAGGGCCCAGCCAAGCCCCUCAGAGGUUCUUGUGGUCAAUCGGCUCUUCUGAGGGUCUUUAAGGAGGAAAGGGACACAAUCAGCUUUAUCUCAGGCUAGAAAUCCUUUUCAUGGGUCUAUGUGGACUAAUGGAGAUGGAGAGAUCCUACCAGUUGGGUUCCCCCAGAGAACCAGCCCACUUGGGAGGCAUGAAUGGAUCAGUCUUCGCACUCUGCCUCAGUUUCCCCAUCAGCAACACCCCUGGCCCAGGCCAGCCCUUCAAAUUCAGGCCACAAGAACAGUUAAUCUCCCUGUAUCCAGGCCUGAGUAUAACAGGAGGCUGUGGUGCUUCUUCAAGGAGUGUGUUUCGGUUGGGACAUGAACCUUUCUCCUUAUUACAGUGAUAGCCAACGAUGGACGACGCGUGGUGGGAGAUGCCUAGAACCACUACCCCAAAACAGUGUCAGUUUUCGAUUCUGGGAAGUGGGGAUAAAAAUGAAGGAGUCCGAGAGAUGUGGAGGGAUGGGGGUGGGGGGAGAUCCUUACCUCUUCAGGGAUGACCCCCCUUCCCCAGUCUGACUACAACCAGCCCCUCCUCCCUCCCACAAAGAAAGCCAUUGAUCCUGAAAAGCAAGUUUAUCUCAGAGAGCAGAAUAAUAGAAGCAAACUCAGCUUUUUUUGGGGGGGGGGGAAAGAAAAAGAUUCUAGUUGCACCCACCAGGAAAUGGAGACUUGUGUAAACGUCAUUACCCAUGGCAAAGGGUGAGUUGAUCAUUCUCACUCUCUCUCACUGCCCCCCACCCCACCCUGCCCCGGAAUAUUUAUUUUAUCCCAUAGACAAACACUGCAAACAUGUAUUUCACAUACGGGAAAAGGGUAAAUGGAGUCACUUACAAAACUGUUGGUCCGAGCCCCUAAAGUAUAGCUCACGCUUGUUAGUGAGAUGAAAGUCUUUGACUUUUUGAGGCCACAGAACCAUUAAAUAUUAACCGCAUAACCAAGUUGCCCAUUAAAUUAAUUUAUGGAGUUAAAGAAAUGCCUUUGGAACCCCUCUUGAUAGACACCCAGCCCUCAAGUGCCACAUAAAACAAUCACCCGGCUGGUGCUCGGUAAAUUUUCCGUGACGCUCCUCCAAUCUGCUCCAUAUAUGUUUAAAAUUAACACUGAGAUUUGGGCUGUGAAACCUCCUUUGGGCAGAGGGACUGGCUGGCCAGCGAGGGCAGGGAGCCCGAAGUCUGGGGAGGUCUACUGCAUGGUCAGACUUUCCACGUCUGAGUCCUGGCAGAGCUGCUGGCUGCUGUGUGCAGAGCCAGCUUCACAAUUUUGGGUACAUCUGAAUCCCUAGCAAAUCCCAGGCUGGGAGUCCACAUUGUCUAGCAGUCCAAGCAAGAUGUUGGCCAGCCAAGCAGAGCUGCAUAUGCAGGGUACUGGAAAUAAAAAUCCCAGAGGUUCUCAGCAGUGUGUUCAAAGACAGACACGGACCAGGGAAGGGCUGGCUAUGGAGCAGACUGUACCUGGCACUGACUAUGGAAUUCACUGAGGGGCCCUGGGAUGUUGAGUGAAGCUUUGAUCCUGAGUGGCCACAGAUUGGACAACUGGGAGGCAGAGCUGUGAAGUGCAAUUCGGGGUGGUGGGGGGGCCCAAGGGUUGUUUCUGGCUUAUCCCUAAUGACUGUUCCAAGGUCAUUCCAAGGUCUCAGACAAUCAGACAACAGAUCCUAGUGUUCUAGCUCAGCAGAACUAAAGGUCACUUAUGCACUGACCUGCCCCCCCUGCCAUUCUCAGAGUAAAUUACAGCCUGUGAGAUGGCUGGCUACUCGCUGAACCCCUGACAUAGCUCCUUGUUGCCUGGCUCUGAGCAGCUCUUGUCUUUGCUAAUCAGGUUAGGAGACCCUGCCUCUUGCAGACCCCGCUCACUCGAAUGGCACCCCUGGCCACCAGCAGCACCAUCAGGGCCCCAGAGCCCCCCUGAAUCUCAUCCUGAUUCAGGGGUCCUGUUCAAAGCCUGAUCCCAGGAGAUAAGAUGUUAUCAGUUUCCUCCUCCUCCGGAUGCACACACCAACUGCAGAUGCCUUGGGCUCCACCAGCUCCAGGAGGCAGGAGGCGGGAGGCGAGCUUGUGAGCCAUAAAUCCCCAGCUGGGCGAGGCCUCCCCUGCCCUAUGCCCCCUCCUCCAUUGGCUGUGCCCAUUUAUUUAACUUCUUGGGAAAGGAAUGAAGAGAAACAAAAGCUCAGGCGGCAGCCAUCAAUUGGCCUCCAAAUGGCAAAUGCCCUUUAAAGAGAAAGAUGAAUAUUGAUCUAAAGAAGAGGAGCUUCUCCUGUAGGGGAAUUAAUCAUCAGGAAUUCUUUUUAGGUUAAGGCAGAAAAUGUGACCAAGUAUAACCAGCAAGUCACAAAAUUGCAACUUGGGUUAAUGGAGACUAAUUGGGAGCGCUGGAGUGCUCGCCUGGCUUCCUAUGGGCUUGGGAACACCAGUUAGUACAUUUAGCAACUUGAUUCUUAUUUAAACAUUGUUAUUGCUAAACUCAGUGUUUCUGAAUCAUAAAGUAUUAGUGCAUAAAGGAACCCUGUACCAACAACGCUAUGGAAGGACAGAGUAUUUCAGAAGUGACAAACACUAUGACACACACUCUCGGGCUCAGCCCCCUUCAUGAGCCCUGCAAGGGAGUGGUCUUUACCCUGUUUUACAGAUUAAGGAUGCUGGGGCUCAGGGAGGUAGAGAGCUUGCCCAGAGGUACAGAGCUAGUGAGGAGCAAUGGGAUUUGAUCCCAGCUCUUUCCACUCAAAUACCAACACUUGCAACCAAAGACAAUCCAGCACUUGCCUAUCCUCAAGAGUCUUGAGUCAGACUCCACGAUGGGUUUUAUUUAACUAAGAAAUCCCAUCUCCAUGAAAGCCAGUGGUAACAUUAAACUAUUUAUGCCUAGCAGUAAUAAUAAUCAAAAGCUGGCAUCCACUGAAUGCCUCCUCUGGCCCAGAUGCUGUGCUGGUGCCUGGCCUCUGUAAGUUCCUUCUAUCUCCACGACUACCCUCUGUGGAGCUACUAUUUUUCCAUUAUACAGAUGUGGAAACUGAGGCUCUGGGAAGUGAGGGUUUUGAACCGAGGCAGCCCAGCCAUCCAGAGGCCAUGUGCCACAGCCACUGACGUGGGAGCCUGUCAUUUUCACUGCAGGGUCCUGGGCUCUAGUCAAAGUGGAAAGACAAAUGGGCUCUGCUUCAUGACAUCGCUGUCAGUAUCCCAUCUCUUCUUGGGUAUUGGCUGUUUUCAUGCACCUGUGCACACGCACCCGUGUGCAUGCGUGUAAGUGUGAGCACUUGCAUGGAUAAAGAUAUGUAACCAUCAGGACUUCUGUGGAUAAACAAAUAUACAUUUCAGAGGUUUCAGAUGCUACUGAACUCAGAAUUGAUUCCAACAAUGUCCCAAAAGGAAUUUAAACAAACAGCUCUCCUGUGUCCAGCAAAAUGUCACCUACAGAAUAUCCCGUCUACAGGAGAUCUUAACCCAGCUCCCAAGCUGCUGAAAGGGAUUUCAAAUAGCGUUUUGUAAACACUAACAUGUCCCAAAAGAGGGAAAGCCUCAGCUGUGAUCCCAAGACCCUUGUGCCCCAGAGGGGGGCGCAGUCACGAGUGACCCCUCCCUGAGGGCCACUCCUACCCAUCGCUCUGAAUAGGAAAUGCCAGGCGUCAGGAUGCACCUCGUAGACUGCAGCAGACGGUUUUUCAGACGGCCCUCCUUCACAGACAGACAGACUCUGGCAGAUGGACAGCCCCUCCCCCUCCUCCAGACACACCCUUACCCGGCAGUACUCGUCGAUGGGCUUCAGCCUCUUCACAGCUACAUCCCGGAUGUGGCUUCUCCGGAAGAGGAUCUUGCCUGGAAGAGAGAUGCUUGUGAGCUGAGUGAUUCUGCAGAAAGCUGCCAUGGGACCUGGGCCUCCUACCCUCUCAUUCCCCUCUCCCUCAGCUUCUCAGCGAUUUAGUUGGCCACCAAGUGCCACCAUCUCUGCCCAUUGAAGAAAACAAGAAAGGAGCAGUCACCUCUGCCAGGGGGCAGGAGGCGCCCAAGGCUGAAGGUCCAGGAUCUCUGGGGCACAGGAGAGGCCCCAGAGGCUGCCAUCUUGGCCAGAUCACCUUGUCUGGGUCUAAUGGCAGGAUCGAUGCCCUGACGUGGGCGCGGCUCCCAAGUGACCUCACAAAUAAUACAAAGGAUGGCCCAACCCACACGCUGCGUUUUGUUUUCAGGCCCUUCCCUCCUUGAGAAAUCGGCAUUCGCUCCUGCCAGCCAGGCAGGAAUUCCUAUUCUUAGUUUUAGGUGGGUGGCGAUUUCCAGGGCGGGCACAGGCCAACGCCAAGGGAGCAUGGCUGCCCCAGCCUGACUUUUCUCUAGCCUCUCUGCGCACACAGCCUCCAGCAAUGCAGGCCGCCAUGCAGAUGGGCUGGUGCACCCCUCUGCAGGUGUGGGUGAGGCUUAAAGGAAUUGCCAGCCCCUCAAACCUUCCCAGCGGGCUCUUUUCAGCUAGCUGAGUUCGAUUUUAACAACUAGAUCAAUGCAUAGUCCUUUUCAGCCCAUUCAGUUUAGACUCUGAACUCCUUGGUCUGACUUUCAAGUCCUAACACAGCUGACAUUUCUGUGCCUCAUGGUCAUCGGUGUCUAAGUCAAUGUCCCUUUUUUGGAAGGCCUUCCUUGAUUGGCCAUACUGGGAGUAAUCUCCGUCUUUCUAGAACAUCCACACACUUUGUCCAUUCCUAAGGCAUGUGCCCCAUUCUGCUGUGUGUUACAAAUAUUUGACAGCCUCCUUCCAUCAGGGGGCUGACACAUCUUAGAACCCACAUAGCUUGACAAGUGAAGUGCUCACCCUAUAGCUGUAAUAGGCAUCUGCUGUCCAAGUCUGCCUGAUUUCCCUCUGGAGAGUCUUCUUCCUCCAUUCCCAAUCGUUGUGGUUCAAAGGGGCUAACCAUACUCCCUGGCAAGAAGAGUAGGCACGUGACCCAGCCCAGCCAACCAGAGUCACUGCAAUUGGCUCAGAGAUGGGCACGUGAUCUGGGCCAAUGAGGGUCAGCCCUGAGACUUCUACUGGAGCCUUCUCUCUCUCAGAGUUGCUAAGCUGGCAGGAUGAAAGCCUGAAACUUCUUAAGUGGCCAUCUUUAUCAUUGCCUGAGAAGGAAACCUACUGAAAGGAUCAGUGCCUGGAACAUAGUAGGUACUCCAUAAAUGCUUCCUGAAUGGUUGAAAAGCAGAGCAAAGAGAUGAUGAAGGGCAGAUUAUUUUGACAUCAUUUGAGCAGCUGGAUAUAGCUGUUCUGAACCCAGGGUCUACCUGAUACUUUUCACAUGUAUAAAUAAUCAAUUAUUUUAUUUAAACUAGUUGGAAAUGGAUUUUUAUCACUUGCAUUAAAGGAGAUCUAAUGAAGAUAA